UGGGUCACUGAGAGUUAACUAACAUAAUAAGUUAGCACCGAUCUGCCGCCUGAGGCGGAACAGCGAACACAGAGGACAGAUCGGGCAUGCCGGCGCUUUUUCUCCCUUGGCUAGACGACGAUGUAACAUUUGGUUAAGAUUCAAGACACCGUGGGCCGGAUUCAGCGAAGCAGCCCCCGAACAUGAGCAAGCACCACAGUAAAUACUUCCACUGAGUGUCAUUCGAUCCUCUCCUGGAAAAUUUGAAUUCCUCCCCGUCACAUCUCAAGGCAGAAAUAGACGGAGCGUGGGAGUACGAUGUGGAACAUGAGACCCGAAGGUUCCCAGGUCGGUCCAAAGAAAUAGCCGCAAGAACACCAUCAGAAGAAGUCAAGAUGAUGUACAAUGACGACAUGGUAUUGCCAAAAGAUCCAGCAUGCCCGCGACCCUACUGAGUUGGUCCGAAAUGUUUGCUGUUUGCCUGGAACACCGCGGGGGGCACAGAGCUCCGCAAGAUGCGCCAUGAGGAGAAGUGGCAUCGGUUGCUAGGGAACAAGACAUAAAAGUCAAUAACCGAUGUCUCGACUAGGGCCAUCACACCUUCCUGAACCUGAUGGGAGAAUUUUAGCAGUUGACUUCAUAUUACUGGCGGCUCUCUGACUCCACUGGUCCUCGCGUUCUUCUUGCCGGCUGGCUUCCGCCGCCGUGUUGGCGUCCCCACCCUCCCAGGACACCUUGUGAGCGGGGCUGUGCUGGUGGAGGCGGCGGCAGGGCGACGGCGGAGUCAGAUUGGUGGGUGCCACGCUGCACACGGCCACGCCCCGACAGUUGCCGCGCAUGUUUGACAUGUUGGACAGGAAGCUGCUCAGCUGUGACGGAAAAGAUGGGAGAAAAGAAAAGAAAAAACAAAGUGAGCAAAUGUUAAACAGCUGCUGAUGUCCCGCCAACUCAGAUCCCUCUCAUCACGGUAUGGAUAGCAUUUUUGCCUUGCAUCAAAAGGUUCUGGGUUUGGAUCUGGGCUAGGCCUUUCUCUCUGAAGUUUGCAUGGCUUUUCGCUAUCCCCUUACACCCAUCCCAUGUUGAUUUUGGUACCUUUCACAGGGAAAACUGUGUGGACGAAUGGAUGGAUGGAGCUGGAUGAUGGUUGGAUGGACGGGUGGAGAGAUGACAGAAGGAUGGAGAUUGAUGAGGUGAUUGGAUGAUUGAGAUGCUAGAUAGUUGGGAAUGGAUGAGAUGAAUACUUGUUGGAUGGAUGUAGAUGUGGGCGAUUAUUGGAUGAAUGCAGCUGGAUGGUUGGAUGGAUGAUGGAGAUGGCCGAUGGGUGGAUGUAGCUGGAUGAUGGAUCAUUUGAGAUGGUCAAAUGGAUGAAAAUGGAUGAUGAUGAAUGGAUGGAUAUGAACAGAUGGAUGGAAAUGGAUGGUGCUUGGUUGGAUGGAGAAAACUAGAUGGAUUAUGGUGUAUAGGGAUCGAUGUGGUUGGAUGGAUUGAUAGAUGGAGGUGGAUGGAUGAUGGAUGAUUGGAUCGUGAUGAUGGAUGAAUGGAGGUGGAUGAAUGUAUUUGGAUGGAUGGAGGUAGUUAGACAGAUGGAAAUGGUUGGAUGGAUAGAGAUGAUGAAAUGGAUGAGGGUUGGAUGGGUACAUGAGAUGAGUGGAUGGAUGGAUGGAGAUGAAUGAGAGUUGGAUGGAUGGAUAGAGAUGGAUUCGUGAAGACGGAUGAGGGUUGUAUGGAUGGAUGAGGGUAGUAUGACUCAUAGUGAUGGAUGCUGGAUGGAUGAAGGUGGUUGGAAGGAUGGAGAUGGAUGAGGGUUGGGUGGAAGGAUGGAUAGAAAUGGAUAGAGAUGGGUGGAUGUGGUUGGAUGGACGGGUGAUGAAUGGAUGUACCGUAUGUAUGCCUGACUUACCCUGCCUCCAUCCGCGUCCCUGC